AACGCAUAUUGCGCCCUUUGGUAUUCCGAAGGGCAUGCCUGUUCGAGCGUCAUUACACCCCUCAAACAUCACUGUUUGAUGUUGGGUACUGCCGGAAGGCAUACCUAAAAAUCAGCGACGGUUACAAUCAACCUCAGGCGUACAAACAUCGCUAUGGUGGAAGAUGGGAGCCUGUCUCUUUAAUGAAAAUCUAAAUGUUGACCUCGGAUCAGGUAGGAAUACCCGCUGAACUUAA
rnacentral:misc_RNA from 1 species